rnacentral:misc_RNA from 1 species
AAGAUACUGUCAAGAGGAAUGUUCUAAUCGGUCCCUCUAUUUACCCUGAGUCUAAAAGUGCUGAGAAAGCGAGUUCAUUUGUUGGGACAGUGAAAAAGCCAAUGAACACGCUGAGAUCAUUGUCAGCUAAGAACUCAUCCGCCAGGAAUGGUAAUGUAAGAGAUCACAAUUCUGAAGAUAGUGGUACAUCUUUAAAAUUGGGAUCGAAGAAUAUGGAGGCUCGUAAUUCUUUGAAAACGCCAUUGCCAGCUAAGAAUCCUAAGGGCCAUGAGGUAGAUUCAGAGGACAGUGAUACAUCAUUGAAUCCGGGGCUAAAGAAUGUGAAAGCUCGUAAAUCUAUGAUAGGGGCAAGCAGUGAUGGUGAAAUAAGUCCAUGCAAUCAGCUUCCAUCUGCUAGAAUUAAAGAAGGGAAGGUUAAGCGUGGUACUGGAACAGAAAAGCAAAAGUUGCGUGAACAUAUAAGGGGGAUGCUUCUGAAUGCAGGCUGGACAAUAGACUAUAGACCAAGAAGGAACAGAGA